CGGAGGGUAUUUUGAUAAAGAUGUUCGUUUGCUAGGCUAAAGCUAAAGCUAGCUGUAAAUAAUGUGUGUUUUGAUGCGGACAUAAGUGAGCAGUUUAGUUUACUGAAGCGACGUUCUCGAGUUAACCGACCGGCUUCUCUUGUGACCCAGUCAGCUGUCAGUCAACCACUCAGGACAAACCAGGAAACUCAAAGUUCGCCUCCUUCACUGAAGUCUGCGGUCGAUCACCGAGGAGUCACAUGAAGGCAGAUAGGAUGAUUACUUUCAUCGGGUUUCUCACUUCUGCACCUCAGACCUGCUUCCUCUGAGACUCCUGCAGGUCAGACGGAGCGACAUGGAGCUCAGCUGCCAGGACUGGAUGUCCGCUUUACCCGAGGAGCUGUGGGACGUUUCCCUCACAGACCUGGCCAUACCUGGGAGCCAUGAUGCUAUGAGCUACUGUCUGGACAUAAACUCUCCGCUUCUCAGGUCUGAGUCAGACUUUUUCCGGGUCCUGGAUGGACUUUUCUACUGUUUCACAAGGCCGGUCAUUUUCAAAUGGGCUACCACACAGGAUAAAAGCAUCGAGGAGCAGCUGUCGAUGGGGAUUCGCUUCUUUGACCUCCGUAUCGCACAUAAACCCAACGAUUCAUCCAGCGACCUGUACUUCACACACGUCAUAUACACACAUUUAACAGUUUUGGAAACGCUUGUGUCUGUUGCCACCUGGCUGAAGUCUCACCCAAAGGAGAUUGUUAUCCUCGCUUGCAGCCAUUUGGAGGGAAUGGACGACACACGCCAUGAAUCGUUCAUUUACUCCCUGAAGAAGCUGUUCGGCUCCAAACUGUGCCCCCGGACGGAAUCAGUCCUGACCUUGAGGAACCUUUGGGCAUCUGGUUACCAGGUCAUUCUGUCCUACGACUCCCAGGUUGCAGCGAGACAUCAGGAGCUGUGGCCUGCCAUCCCUUACUGGUGGGCCAACAAGCACACUGCACAAGGAGUGAUCAGUUACUUGGAGUGGAACAAGCAGCAGGGACGUCCAGAGGGAUUCUUCGUCUCUGGCCUGAACCUGACAGCUGAUCGGUGUUACAUUGCCAAGAACCGGAAGGAAUCUCUGCGGACGUUGACCUACAGCAACUGGGACAUUUUGAGUAAGUGGGUGGAGGAGCAGACACCUGGAUCGGACCCCAAAAGCCUCAACAUCAUCGCUGGAGACUUUGUUGGGCCCCUUCCGCUCUGCUCUCAAGUGAUCGCACUGAACCAAAAACUGCGACGGAGGAAUUCCAUCCAGAUAAAGAAGCAAUAUUAGCUGUGAUUCAUAAAGAGCCACAUCUUACCUCAUUAUACAUUUACUUAGCUUCUCUCAAUUUAUAUGAAAUUUAAUCAUCACUGAUUUUUAUCUGCAGUUUCUGUAUUUCUUACAUUCAGUAUAUUUUUUAUCUAAAUCUAUUAUGUGCCAUCAGUGUAUGUUUACAAGACAAUACUUUAAACUGUUACAAAUUUGUAUCUUCAGGUAUUUUAAUAUACUGUACAGCAAUAAUGCAUUAUCUUAUGGUACAGUUUGCAGUCCUGAAUUGCUCCCGCAGCUACUAAUAUGUGCCUCCGAACAGUUUUUUGUAGCGUCCGUGAGCGGCGGCGCUGAUGAUGACCCUGACGACGGCCGAUCCUUCGUCUGCGUUCACCUGCACAUCCUGGACGGUUGCUUCUUUGUACAGCCAGCUGCGGAUGAGAACGCAUGCUUACCACAGAUGCGUUGCUAUUCUAAACCAUAAUAAUCAUAAUACGCUGACAGGAACAGAUCUACACUCUCACCUGAGCUGAGGAGUGCUGAGGUUAACUGUGAGGUCUAAACUUUGUUUCCCUGUAGACUUUAAAAUCUGCUCUUCCACUGCUCGCUGCAGCUCAUCCAGGCCUUGCUCCUCCAGGGCAGAGAUGGGCAGUGCGCUGGGCUCUGCAGGCUGGUUCUUCAGGACAUUGAGUACAUUCGCCUUCUGAUUAACCGUCUCUGGAUGACUGAUGUCUCUGACGUGAACCAGCAGAUCCUGGAAGGAAGAUGAGCACUGAGUCAGCAACUCUACUCCUAAAGUCACUGUAAAAGAUGAGCUGAACAUCCCAUAGUUCAUCAAUACAUAUGAACAUCAGACCGUCCGCUCAUAGCAACAGCCCUCUUCAAUCAAAAAUCACUCCAGCAAGAGCCAGAGGUGUUGACCUAACCUCCAAACUCCACAGAUCCUAACCUGAUUGAGUAUUCUCACAAUGCUCCAGAAAAAGCCUGAUCCACAGAGGGACCACAACCCACAGGACCCAAAGGAUCUGCUGCCCACAUCACAGUGCAGAGACCACAGGUGACCCAUGAAAAUACCCACACAAUAUUAGUCAGAUGGUUUUAAUGCUGUGGCUGUUCAGUAUAAAUGAGACAACUGCUCUUUAUGGGAUUCGGUUAUCCUGAUGGUCCAUGUUAUGGAUUUCUCUAUUCUGUGCACAACAUCUACUGCAUGUCUGUUGGUCCAAAGGGUUUCAGUCCUGAGUUUUCUUCCAGUUUUUACCUAUUAAUUACUUUUUCCUCAUCCAACUUGAGGACUUAAAGAGCCCGUUAUGCACAUUUACAGGUGUAUUAUCCAAUAUAUUUGCAUGCAUUAAUGUAAAAAACACAUUGUUUUAGCUCGUCUCUUUGAAGCUUCCUUCCCUGAAAAGCUGGCUGCUCUGCUUGGUCUAUAUAAUAAUAAUAAUAAUAAUUGGUCUAAUAUUGGUUACACAUUGUAGCUUCAGAUCUCUUACAGUCAAAGCGAUAUAGCUCUAGUAGAAGCACUUGUAGCAAGGAAAUAAUCUUGGAAUAAGAGAAAGCUGCUCAUUCUUGGUUUAGCGGCGAAACUAGGUGCUAGGCAUCAUAUACAUGUUUUCCCUGGUGCCAUAGAUAAGUAAUGUAAGAAAGGUCUUGACUUAAAAUGAGGCGUUCCAGGCAGGUAAGGAACAGUGGAAGAGAAUAACUCCCUUGGGCGUGGGCUUUGUAAGUUUGCAAAUAAGCAGCUAUAUAACACACUGAAAGAAAAGGGGAAAACCCAAAAAGACUAAUAAGAGCUGUUAGAGAACAGAGGAAGUUGUGUGCUCUUUAGACUGUAAACCACACUGAUACAAAUGUGAGAUAAAACUUGAGUACGUACAGAGUGUUUAAUGUCCUCCAGGGUGGCAGAGAAGGAGUCGAUGAGCUGGUGGGGCAGCUGGGAUAAGAAACCGAUGGUGUCCACAUACAGGACAGUCAUGCGGCUGGGCAGCUGGCCGGCGUGAACGGUGACAUCCAGGGUUGCAAAAAGCUGGUUCCUGGGCUGAAGGCCACUGUCACCAGUCAGAGCUUUGAUCAGAGUUGUUUUUCCUACACAGACGAAGGCAAAAAAUUAACACUCAACACUGCAUUAUCAUAAAACACUGGACCUAAUGGGGCGUGUCUCUCACCACAGUUGGUGUAUCCUAACACAGACACAACUGGGAACUCCUUGUGUUUACGCUGAGAUCGCAGCAGGUGCCUCUUUUUCCGAAGCUUUUCCAGCGCUGAGCGAAUCUUCAGCUCUCGCUCCUUUAACAGUCUCUGCUGGACCUCGUACAGAGUCUCACCUGUAAAGACCAUUCAGCAAGAGGAAUGCUGUUUAUAACAGGCUCAAUAUACUCAAUCAGCUUAGUAUCCACAGUGGAUCAGGGCUGCAACUAAAGAUCAUUUUCAUUGUCCAUGAAUCUGUUAACUCUCAAAAAAUUUAGAAAAAUAGUGUCAAACAGCGUUUCUCAAAGCCCAACAUUACAUCCUCAAGUGUCUUGUUUAGUCUACAGCUCAGUGCUAUUCAGUUUAAACCAGAAAUAUUUUCAUUUUAGAAGCUAGAGUCAAAGAAUUUACGCUUUAUUUUCUAAAACAAAUUACUCAGACCGAUUAAUCGACUGUUGAAAUAGCUGCCGAUUGAAGAGCUGACAACUAACUGAUUAAUCAAUGAAUUGUUGCUACUUAGUUUCUAUUGUGAAUGUUAUGUUACCUGAGCCGCCGAUGUAUCUCGACCCUCCACCCUGCUGAUCCAAGUUUGCCACUUCAUUUUUUAGACGAGAUCUGGCAUUGAAGUGAGGGAAAAUUCAAACAAUUAGGCAUCAUGAAAUCAGACUGAAACCAUCUUAAUUGUCCAAAACUUUUUAAAAAUAAAUGUUUUGUAUUUUCUGGAUCAAUGUAAGUUGUAAAUGUCUUCAUGUAUGUCAAGGAAGCACCAGGUGUCAAUUCAAAACAUAGCGGAAUGCAUAGGAAUUAAAUUAUAAACUAUGA